CGUCACAUUAGCAUCCUGCUUUCGGUUUUCCUUAUUUCAAUGGAGUUAUAUGUUUUGUCCCACUGUGGAUAUGUAUAUGUUUUGACUGUGUUCUGUUUCCUUCCCCGUUUUCUCCUUGCAAGAACCACAGAACUGCUUUAACCUUCCCCGUUUUCUCCCUGUUUGUCAGUAAAGUCAAGGAGCACGAAUUCGACAAAUUGUGGGAAUUGGAAACUUUUGAAAUUCAAAUUGAAUCACUUUUAUCUCUCUCUCUCUCUCUCCAUAUUUGUUUUCAAAUUCUGGAUCUGUCUCAAAAUUAUUUUCCUCUUCCUGCUCCGGAAACUCAUCUCACCUUCUUUCUCUGCUAACGGUGGCGCUAGAUCAUCAACGACCGUGCAUACCUUCCUUGCACCGCCACCGCUCCCUCCCACGCCCAGCCGCCGCCUCUAGGCCCCCCCUCUCCCUCUCUCACUCCCAGCCGCUCUCUCGCUCUCUCUCUCUCCCUCAGCAGAUCUUCAACCGCGCCCAAAUCUCCAGAUCUCGCGCGUCCUCUCCCUCGAAGCCACACACAGCAACUUUCAAACCCCGGUGCUUCCGAAAAAUCCAUCGGGUAUUGGUAUUAAGGAAAGGUAUCACCUUGUGCUGAGACAGAAGCUUUCAGGGUUCUUUGUGAAUUUUUUUAGAGCUUUUGAUUUCUAUCUGGGGCCUGGAGUUUGGAGAGCUUGAUAGGUGAAGAUGCUAACAUAUGGAGAAUCCAGAAUUCACUUGAAGAGGGGCUUUUCCAUCGGAUCGAAAUGCACAGAUUGAAAGCAUUUUGACAGAGCAUUGCAGAUCGAUGAACUCUUACAUGUGAUAUGGACGGAUCUCUAGCCUUUUCAUGGAUCACGAACAUGGAACUUUGAGCUCCAUCAGAUAUGGUCGGUUCAUGCUUCCUAAAUCUGGGUUUUGUUGAAAUGAGGGCCUGAAGAUCUGUAUAUCUCAAGACUGAGAGAUCAAAGAUGAUAUGUCUAAAGGAGGAGAAAAAACCUGAAGAGAGGAAAGCUCAUGCUCUGUUUGAGAUGGCUAAGAAUGAAGAAGAAGAAUUCAACACUAGACCACUAUCUGUUCUGAUGAUGAGUAUUAAAAACGAUACUCAUGUAUGUUUUUUUAACAUUAGAUAGUAACAUGGAUUCUGAGGCAGCCCCUAGAAGGCAUUUUAUGUCUGAGGUUUUAACCAGACACUUUAACUUCAGUAGCAAGAAGCUUCUGGGUCGUGGCAUGGCUUUUCAUAGGCACCGCAACAUGGUUCAGGAUCAAAAUUUUAAAAAUAGUUUAUUCGAUGAAAACUAAAUAGUGAAGAAGCAAGAAUCAAAUAAUCAUCCAGCCAACUGCUGAACCUGAAAGUACAAUUUUUCGAAAUCAGAUUGGAAAUGUCCUUUGCAGUAUGCAGCUACUAUCCCAUUCUGAUAAAUGGCCUGUUUAACAAAUUGCUGCAAUUUCCUUGGCCACUUGGUUGAGAAGAGUAAGAAAGCCUUCCAAAAUCUUAUUCUAUAAUUCUUUGAAGAAUGAUAAAGACAUCGGUUCUUAUCUUAAUAUGGUUCUAAAAGAUUGCAAACACUUUGCUCAAUCCCUUCAUUGGUGUCAAUUAGUGCAUGUCAAGAGACAAUGCAAUACCACUGUUGUCUAAAAUUAUUUUUCAAUUUGUAGAUAAAGUUUGGUUAGAAGGAUGCCCUAUGGCGGAUGAUAUUCUUUUGAAUGAUGUACCUUUUAAUUUUGUUCAUGAUUGAAUAAAAUGUUAAAGCACAGAAAAGAAAAAGCGCUACGCUGUGCCAGCUUGGAUUUAAAUAA